rnacentral:rRNA from 1 species
CGCGGUAAUACGGAGGGUGCAAGCGUUAAUCGGAAUUACUGGGCGUAAAGCGCACGCAGGCGGUUUGUUAAGUCAGAUGUGAAAUCCCCGCGCUUAACGUGGGAACUGCAUUUGAAACUGGCAAGCUAGAGUCUUGUAGAGGGGGGUAGAAUUCCAGGUGUAGCGGUGAAAUGCGUAGAGAUCUGGAGGAAUACCGGUGGCGAAGGCGGCCCCCUGGACAAAGACUGACGCUCAGGUGCGAAAGCGUGGGGAGCAAACGGGAUUAGAUACCCUGGUAGUCCACGCUGUAAACGAUGUCGAUUUGGAGGUUGUGCCCUUGAGGCGUGGCUUCCGGAGCUAACGCGUUAAAUCGACCGCCUGGGGAGUACGGCCGCAAGGUUAAAACUCAAAUGAAUUGACGGGGGCCCGCACAAGCGGUGGAGCAUGUGGUUUAAUUCGAUGCAACGCGAAGAACCUUACCUACUCUUGACAUCCAGAGAAUUCGCUAGAGAUAGCUUAGUGCCUUCGGGAACUCUGAGACAGGUGCUGCAUGGCUGUCGUCAGCUCGUGUUGUGAAAUGUUGGGUUAAGUCCCGCAACGAGCGCAACCCUUAUCCUUUGUUGCCAGCACGUAAUGGUGGGAACUCAAAGGAGACUGCCGGUGAUAAACCGGAGGAAGGUGGGGAUGACGUCAAGUCAUCAUGGCCCUUACGAGUAGGGCUACACACGUGCUACAAUGGCGUAUACAAAGAGAAGCGAACUCGCGAGAGCCAGCGGACCUCAUAAAGUACGUCGUAGUCCGGAUCGGAGUCUGCAACUCGACUCCGUGAAGUCGGAAUCGCUAGUAAUCGUAGAUCAGAAUGCUACGGUGAAUACGUUCCCGGGCCUUGUACACACCGCCCGUCACACCAUGGGAGUGGGUUGCAAAAGAAGU